rnacentral:rRNA from 1 species
CCUACGGGAUGCAGCAGUGGGGAAUAUUGCACAAUGGGGGAAACCCUGAUGCAGCGACGCCGCGUGAGUGAAGAAGUAUUUCGGUAUGUAAAGCUCUAUCAGCAGGGAAGAAAAUGACGGUACCUGAUUAAGAAGCCUCGGCUAACUACGUGCCAGCAGCCGCGGUAAUCCGUAGGGGGCAAGCGUUAUCCGGAUUUACUGGGGGAAAAGGGAGCGUAGACGGCAGCACAAGUCUGGAGGGAAAGGCCGGGGCUUAACCCCGGACCGGCUUUGGAAACUGUGCAGCUAGAGUGCAGGAGAGGUAAGUGGAAUUCCUAGUGUAGCGGUGAAAUGCGUAGAUAUUAGGAGGAACACCAGUGGCGAAGGCGGCUUACUGGACUGUAACUGACGUUGAGGCUCGAAAGCGUGGGGAGCAAACAGGAUUAGAUACCCGAGUAGUC